UAUAGACAGUAUACAGUAUACAUGGUUAAUAUAGACAGUAUACAGUAUACAUGGUUAAUAUAGACAGUAUACAUGGUUAAUAUAGACAGUAGACAGUAUACAUGGUUAAUAUAGACAGUAUACAUGGUUAAUAUAGACAGUAUACAUGGUUAAUAUAGACAGUAUACAGUAUACAUGGUUAAUAUAGACAGUAUACAUGGUUAAUAUAGACAGUAUAGAUGGAUAAUGUAGACAGUAUAUUACAUUUUUUAAUUUAAAUGUGAUUUUUGCAAACAAAAAUAAAUUAUUAUUUUUAUUUAACUAGGCAAGUCAGUUAAGAACAAAAUUCUUAUUUUCAAUGACGGCCUGGGAACAGUGGGUUAACUGCCAGUUCAGGGGCAGAACGACAGAUUUGUACCUUGUCAGCUCAUGGGUUUGAUCUUGCAACCUUCCGGUUAUUAGUCCAACGCUCUAACCACUAGGCUACCCUGCCACCCCACUCAAGACAUGGGUGGAAUAAAUUAUGUUUAUCUUGAACAAAUAUAAUUGAAACAAGGUUUUCAUCACUAUUGAUGUUUAUUGCGUUGAACUGAACAAAUUGGAAGGACAUAUUUUACAUACAGUAUUUUAUGGAAAUGAUAAAUGAGCCCCAUUGAACACAAAUUAAGGCUGGUCUACACACCGCAUGAGGGACAAAGGUUUACUGUGUGUGUUGCAAAAUGUAUUUCUUGCACUUGAUACUUGUGUACUGUGUCUUCCUGUCCUUCUUGGGUCCACACACAUCACAGCUCUUCUUCUUAUUGCUACCGGCUGCAAUCUAGAAUGAAUUUUACUAACACCUCCCUCCCUCCUUAGUUCAGAAAUGUUACUAACAUCUCACUCACUCACAUAGAUAGUUACAUCAGUCCAAGGUAGGAGAGUGAGACACACACAUGCAACAACAUCACUCACACAUACUUCUGGUAUUGGAGUUGUUGGUUCUGUGGGUUGGGCGGAUGGGGCACCAGCAUCCUCUUCCUGAAUCCUCCUAUCAAUGGCUGCAGAAGCUGGGGUCCUUGGGAUAUGUUGCCUCCUCUGGAUUUGAGGUCUUACCAAUGCCUCGCCCAGCUCCUCGAGAAAGAGCUGUCUCCUCUGGAGCAUCCCUCUGUUCCAAUCUGGGUUCAACGCCAUCCAGAUGACAAACACGUUUUAUGCCGAGAUGUUCAAGAUAUUGAAGAAUAUCACAAAUGGCCAGCGUAGGUUUCUUCUUUUGCAGCUGUAGCCAGGCGUGGUGUGUCUUGGUGUGUCUUGGUGUGUCGUGGUGUGUCUUGGUGUGUCGUGGUGUGGUGUGUCGUGGUGUGGUGUGUCUUGGUGUGUCGUGGUGUGUCGUGGUGUGUCUUGGUGUGUCGUGGUGUGGUGUGCCGUGGUGUGUCGUGGUGUGUCUUAGUGAGUCGUGGUGUGUCGUGGUGUGUCUUGGUGUGUCGUGGUGUGUCUUGGUGUGUCGUGGUGUGUCUUGGUGUGUCGUGGUGUGUCGUGGUGUGUCUUGGUGCGUCGUGGUGUGUCGUGGUGUGUCGUGGUGUGUCUUGGUGUGUCGUGGUGUGUCUUGGUGUGUCGUGGUGUGUCUUGGUGUGUCGUGGUGUGUCGUGGUGUGUCUUGGUAUGUCUUGGUGUGGUGUGUCGUGGUGUGUCGUGGUGUGGUGUGUCUUGGUGUGUCGUGGUGUGUCUUGGUGUGUCGUGGUGUGUCGUGGUGUGGUGUGUCGUGGUGUGUCUUGGUGUGUCGUGGUGUGUCUUAGUGAGUUGUGGUGUGUCUUGGUGUGUCGUGGUGUGUCUUGGUGUGUCGUGGUGUGGUGUGUCAUGGUGUGUCGUGGUGUGUCUUGGUGUGUCAUGGUGUGGUGUGUCGUGGUGUGUCUUGGUGCGUCGUGGUGUGGUGUGUCUUGGUGUGUCUUGGUGUGGUGUGUGGUGGUGUGUGGUGGUGUGGUGUGUCUUGGUGUGUCGUGGUGUGUCUUGGUGUGGUGUGUGGUGGUGUGUGGUGGUGUGGUGUGUCUUGGUGUGUCGUGGUGUGUCUUGGUGUGUCGUGGUGUGGUGUGUCGUGGUGUGGUGUGUCUUGAUGUGUCGUGGUGUGUCUUGGUGUGUCGUGGUGUGGUGUGGUGUGUCGUGGCGUGGUGUGUCUUAGUGUGUCUUGGUGUGUUGUGGUGUGUCUUGGUGUGUUGUGGUGUGUCUUGGUGUGGUGUGGUGUGUCUUGGUGUUUCUUGGUGUGUCGUGGUGUGGUGUGUCUUGGUGUUAAAUAGAUUUUGGGGUGGUUUGUAUGAUUUGAUUUACACAACAUGCCAACCACUCUGAAGACACUAAACAUGUUUUAUUGUGAAGCAAACAACAAAUAAGACCAAAAAAACUGAACUUGAGCAGGCAUAACUAUUCACCCCCCAAAGUCAAUACUUUGUAGAGCCACCUUUUGCAGCAAUUACAGCUGCAAGUCUCUUGGGGUCUCUAUAAGCUUGGCACAUCUAACUAUUUUAUAAACCA
ensembl:lncRNA